rnacentral:rRNA from 1 species
CAAGUCGAGCGCGAAUAGGGGGGCAACUCCCUUAGUUAGAGCGGCGAACGGGUGAGUAACGCGUGGGUAAUCUACCUUCGAGUGGGGAAUAACAGCGGGAAACUGCUGCUAAUACCGCAUGACAUCGUGGGGUCGCAAGGCCAUACGAUCAAAGCCGGGGACCGCAAGGCCUGGCGCUUGAAGAGGAGCCCGCGUCCGAUUAGCUAGUUGGCGGGGUAAUGGCCCACCAAGGCGACGAUCGGUAGCCGGCCUGAGAGGGCGGACGGCCACACUGGGACUGAGACACGGCCCAGACUCCUACGGGAGGCAGCAGUGGGGAAUUUUUCGCAAUGGGGGAAACCCUGACGAAGCAACGCCGCGUGGAGGAUGAAGGCCUUCGGGUCGUAAACUCCUGUCGACCGGGACGAACGUAGCUGGGUCCAAUACACCCGGCUAUCGACUGUACCGGUGGAGGAAGCCACGGCUAACUCUGUGCCAGCAGCCGCGGUAAUACAGAGGUGGCAAGCGUUGUUCGGAAUUACUGGGCGUAAAGGGCGCGUAGGCGGUUCGUUAAGUCCUGUGUGAAAUCCCCCGGCUCAACUGGGGAACUGCACAGGAAACUAGCGGGCUUGAGUUCGGGAGAGGGAAGCGGAAUUCCGGGUGUAGCGGUGAAAUGCGUAGAUAUCCGGAGGAACACCGGUGGCGAAGGCGGCUUCCUGGACGACACUGACGCUGAGGCGCGAAAGCCUAGGGGAGCAAACGGGAUUAGAUACCCCGGUAGU